rnacentral:rRNA from 1 species
AUUGAACGCUGGCGGCGUGCCUAACACAUGCAAGUCGAGCGGUAACAGGUGUAGCAAUACAUGCUGACGAGCGGCGGACGGGUGAGUAACGCUUGGGAAUCUGCCUAUUAGUGGGGGACGAACCCGGGAAACGUCGGCGUAAUACCGCAUACGCACUACGGUGGAAAGCCGGGACCGCAAGGCCUGGCGCUAACAGAUGAGCCCAAGUCGGAUUAGCUAGUUGGUAGGGUAACGGCCACCAAGGCGACGAUCCGUAACUGGUCUGAGAGGACGACCAGUCACACCGGAACUGAGACACGGUCCGGACUCCUACGGGA